UACGAAGGGUGCAAGCGUUACUCGGAAUUACUGGGCGUAAAGCGUGCGUAGGCGGUUUGUUAAGUCCGUUGUGAAAGCCCUGGGCUCAACCUGGGAAUUGCAGUGGAUACUGGCGAGCUAGAGUGCGGUAGAGGAUGGUGGAAUUCCAGGUGUAGCGGUGAAAUGCGUAGAUAUCUGGAGGAACACCGGUGGCGAAGGCGGCAUUCUGGACCGACAUUGACGCUGAGGAGCGAAAGCCAGGGGAGCAAACGGG
rnacentral:rRNA from 1 species